AUGGACUCCGACUCCGAGAUGCCCGUCGCUAGCGACGAGGAGAUGGUGGACGACGAGGACUACUACUACUACAGCGACGAGGGUGAGGGCGACGACGGGGACGCCAGCGGCGGCGGCGGCGCCUCCGGCGACGAGGAUGUAUCGGCUGGAGACUACGAGGGCCGGGAGGCCGAGGGGAGCGACGAGGCCGUCUCCACGCGCGAGCAGAGAUACAUUGUUUUAACCGAAAAGGAUAUAUCUGAACGCCAAGAGGAAGAUAUAAGCGAGGUAUCUGCAUUACUGUUGAUUCCAAGGGAAGAAGCAUCUGUCCUUCUUCACCACUAUAAAUGGGACAUCAGCAAGGUGAAUGAUGAAUGGUUUUCUGAUGAAGACAAAGUCCGUGGUAUUGUUGGCUUACUUGUGAAUGGAACUGAUUUUCAUAACUCGAGGAAGUUGUUUUGGUUGCAGCUAACUUGUGGAAUAUGUUUUGAAGGGUACUCUUCAGAUAUGAUGAGUUCUGCGGGCUGCGCUCAUUUUUAUUGCCAUGAAUGUUGGGAAGGUUAUAUCAGCGCUGCUGUAAGUCAGGGUCCGGGAUGUUUGUCAUUGCGAUGCCCUGAUCCAUCGUGCAGUGCUAUUGUUCUUCAAGGCAUGAUAAAUAAGUUAGGCAAACACGAAGAUAAAGAGAAGUACGCACGAUUUGCCUUGCGUGCAUAUGUGGAAAGUCGCAAGAAGACGAAAUGGUGUCCAGCUCCUGACUGUACAUGUGCAGUGGAAUUUGUUAGUGAUGUAAACUAUGAUGUCUCAUGUAACUGCACAUUCCGAUUUUGCUGGAAUUGCACAGAAGAAGCUCACAGACCAGUGAACUGUGAGACUGUUUCUAAGUGGAUUCUGAAGAACAGCGCUGAAUCUGAAAAUAUGAACUGGAUACUGGCUAAUUCUAAGCCCUGUCCAAAAUGCCAACGACCGAUAGAGAAGAACCAGGGAUGCAUGCAUAUGACUUGCACACCUCCUUGCAAAUUUGAGUUUUGCUGGUUAUGUCUGGGUUCAUGGGUAGAACAUGGUGAGAGGACUGGUGGCUUUUAUGCUUGCAAUCGCUAUGAAUCGGCAAAGAAAGAAGGAGUUUAUGAUGAGGCUGAAGCAAGGAGGGAAAGGGCUAAACACUCACUCGAGAGAUAUAUGCACUACUAUGAACGCUGGGCAUCUAAUCAGACAUCGAGGCAGAAGGCAAUAGCAGAUCUGCAAAAGGCGGAAAAGGAACAACUUGCAAAGUUAACUGAUAUUUAUGGAAUACCGGAGACACAACUGAAGUUCAUUAUUGAAGCUUGGUCACAGAUUAUAGAAUGCAGGCGAGUGCUUCAAUGGACGUAUGCGUAUGGCUAUUAUCUCGAGGACAAGGUCAAGAGUGGAUUUUUUGAGUAUCUGCAAGGUGAAGCUGAGUCUGGUUUGGAACGUCUCCAUCAGUGUGCUGAGAAAGACCUGCUAGCGUUUUUGCCAUUCUCAAAACAUGAUACUACUGAAGAUCAUCCUUCACCAGCUGAAUUUGGUGAAUUCCGUGUGAAGCUUGCUGGUCUGACAAGUAUAACUCGGAAUUACUUUGAGAACCUUGUUCGAGCAUUGGAAGAUGGGUUGGAGGAUGUCCAGUGUGCCGGAGAGGCUGCAACCUCAAGCAAGGCCACCAACUCGAAGAAAGCAGGAGCUAAAGGCAAAGCGGCGAAGAAGCAGCCGUCCAGAUCAUCUUCGGACCAUUCUGAUGAUACUUGGCCAUGCGAGCGCUGCACAUUUCUGAAUCCCUCUUCAGCGGAUGCGUGUACUGCCUGUGAUAAGCAGCGGUACUAG
rnacentral:rRNA from 1 species